rnacentral:SRP_RNA from 1 species
GCCAGGCAUAGUGGCACACACCUGUAGUCCUAGGUACUCAGGAGGCCGAGGCGGGAGGAUCGCUUGAGCCCAGGAGCUCUGGGCUGUGGGGUGCUCUGCUGAUUGGAUGUCCAUUAAGUUUGGCAUCAAUAUGGUGACCUCUGGGGAGCAAGGGACCACCAGGUUGCCUAAGGAUGGAUGAACUGGUCCAGGUUGCAAACAAAGCAAGUCAAAACUCCCAUGCUGAUCAGUAGUGGGAUCAUGCCUGUGAAUAGCCAUUGCACUUCAGCCUGGGCAACAUAGUGAGACCCUGUCUCU